ACGGGAGGCAGCAGUGGGGAAUAUUGCACAAUGGGCGAAAGCCUGAUGCAGCGACGCCGCGUGAGUGAAGAAGUAUCUCGGUAUGUAAAGCUCUAUCAGCAGGGAAGAAAAUGACGGUACCUGACUAAGAAGCACCGGCUAAAUACGUGCCAGCAGCCGCGGUAAUACGUAUGGUGCAAGCGUUAUUCGGAUUUACUGGGUGUAAAGGGAGCGUAGACGGCAUGGCAAGUCUGAAGUGAAAUGCGGGGGCUCAACCCCUGAACUGCUUUGGAAACUGUCAAGCUAGAGUGUCGGAGAGGUAAGUGGAAUUCCUAGUGUAGCGGUGAAAUGCGUAGAUAUUAGGAGGAACACCAGUGGCGAAGGCGGCUUACUGGACGAUAACUGACGUUGAGGCUCGAAAGCGUGGGGAGCAAACAGGAUUAGAUACCCUGGUA
rnacentral:rRNA from 1 species